UGACUGACCGAUAGUGAACCAGUACCGUGAGGGAAAGGCGAAAAGAACCCCGGCGAGGGGAGUGAAAAAGAACCUGAAACCGUGUACGUACAAGCAGUGGGAGCACAGGUUUACCUGUGUGACUGCGUACCUUUUGUAUAAUGGGUCAGCGACUUAUAUUCUGUAGCAAGGUUAACCGAAUAGGGGAGCCGGAGGGAAACCGAGUCUUAAUUGGGCGUUAAGUUGCAGGGUAUAGACCCGAAACCCGGUGAUCUAGCCAUGGGCAGGUUGAAGGUUGGGUAACACUAACUGGAGGACCGAACCGACUAAUGUUGAAAA
rnacentral:rRNA from 1 species